rnacentral:rRNA from 1 species
UGAUUCUUCUGAUGAAGGUCUGGUGACUGAGUGGCGGACGGGUGAGUAACGCGUGGGUAACCUGCCCUGUACAGGGGGAUAACAGUUGGAAACGGCUGCUAAUACCGCAUAAGCGCACGAGAGGACAUCCUCUUGUGUGAAAAACUCCGGUGGUACAGGAUGGGCCCGCGUCUGAUUAGCUGGUUGGCAGGGUAACGGCCUACCAAGGCGACGAUCAGUAGCCGGUCUGAGAGGAUGAACGGCCACAUUGGAACUGAGACACGGUCCAAACUCC